rnacentral:rRNA from 1 species
UGAGGAAUAUUGGUCAAUGGACGAGAGUCUGAACCAGCCAAGUAGCGUGAAGGAUGACUGCCCUAUGGGUUGUAAACUUCUUUUAUACGGGAAUAAAGUGGUCCACGUGUGGACUUUUGUAUGUACCGUAUGAAUAAGGAUCGGCUAACUCCGUGCCAGCAGCCGCGGUAAUACGGAGGAUCCGAGCGUUAUCCGGAUUUAUUGGGUUUAAAGGGAGCGUAGGUGGACAGUUAAGUCAGUUGUGAAAGUUUGCGGCUCAACCGUAAAAUUGCAGUUGAUACUGGCUGUCUUGAGUACAGUAGAGGUGGGCGGAAUUCGUGGUGUAGCGGUGAAAUGCUUAGAUAUCACGAAGAACUCCGAUUGCGAAGGCAGCUCACUGGACUGCAACUGACACUGAUGCUCGAAAGUGUGGGUAUCAAACAGGAUUAGAUACCCUGGUAGUCCACACAGUAAACGAUGAAUACUCGCCUGUUUGCGAUAUACAGUAAGCGGCCAAGCGAAAGCGUUAAGUAUUCCACCUGGGGAGUACGCCGGCAACGGUGAAACUCAAAGGAAUUGACGGGGGCCCGCACAAGCGGAGGAACAUGUGGUUUAAUUCGAUGAUACGCGAGGAACCUUACCCGGGCUUAAAUUGCAUUUGAAUAAUCAAGAAAUUGGUUAGUCGUAAGACAAAUGUGAAGGUGCUGCAUGGUUGUCGUCAGCUCGUGCCGUGAGGUGUCGGCUUAAGUGCCAUAACGAGCGCAACCCUUAUCUUCAGUUACUAACAGGUCAUGCUGAGGACUCUGGAGAGACUGCCGUCGUAAGAUGUGAGGAAGGUGGGGAUGACGUCAAAUCAGCACGGCCCUUACGUCCGGGGCUACACACGUGUUACAAUGGGGGGUACAGAAGGCAGCUACACGGCGACGUGAUGCCAAUCCCGAAAACCUCUCUCAGUUCGGAUCGAAGUCUGCAACCCGACUUCGUGAAGCUGGAUUCGCUAGUAAUCGCGCAUCAGCCAUGGCGCGGUGAAUACGUUCCC